AGCCCGGUGGUGUAGUGGACUAGCAAGGGUCGAAAACAAUGACCCGGUCAAUGAUGGGCUUUGGACCCAUCGACGGGAGUUCGAAUCUCCCCCGGGCUACCA
rnacentral:tRNA from 1 species